rnacentral:rRNA from 1 species
UACGUAGGUGACCAGCGUUGUCCGGAUUUACUGGGCGUAAAGAGCGCGCAGGCGGUCGUUCAAGUCGAGUGUGAAAGCCCCCGGCUCAACUGGGGAGGGUCACUCGAUACUGAUCGACUUGAAGGCAGGAGAGGGAAGCGGAAUUCCCGGUGUAGUGGUGAAAUGCGUAGAUAUCGGGAGGAACACCAGUGGCGAAGGCGGCUUCCUGGGCCUGUUCUUGACGCUGAGGCGCGAAAGCUAGGGGAGCAAACGG